rnacentral:rRNA from 1 species
AGCGAACGCUGGCGGCAGGCCUAACACAUGCAAGUCGAACGAAGUCUUCGGACUUAGUGGCGGACGGGUGAGUAACACGUGGGAACGUACCUUUUGGUUCGGAACAACUCAGGGAAACUUGAGCUAAUACCGGAUGAGCCCUUAGGGGGAAAGAUUUAUCGCCGAAAGAGCGGCCCGCGUUAGAUUAGCUAGUUGGUGAGGUAAAGGCUCACCAAGGCUACGAUCUAUAGCUGGUCUGAGAGGAUGAUCAGCCACACUGGGACUGAGACACGGCCCAGACUCCUACGGGAGGCAGCAGUGGGGAAUCUUGCGCAAUGGGCGAAAGCCUGACGCAGCCAUGCCGCGUGAAUGAUGAAGGUCUUAGGAUUGUAAAAUUCUUUCACCGGGGACGAUAAUGACGGUACCCGGAGAAGAAGCCCCGGCUAACUUCGUGCCAGCCGCCGCAGUAA